rnacentral:tRNA from 1 species
GCCUGGGUGGCUCAGUGGGGUAAGCGUCCGACUUCGGCUCAGGUCCCGGUGUCACAGUUUGUGGGUUCGAGCCCCACAUCGGGCU